rnacentral:lncRNA from 1 species
GACAAUAACAGGUUGAUAACUGGAAGAAAAAACUUAGAUAAAUUAAAUAUAAUUCAUUUAAAAAAUUGUUAUUUUUUUUUUCCAGAACCCCUUCACUGCAACCCUUCCUUGCACCGCCAUUGAUUUCCGAUCUCCGUCAAUCUGAAGCAACACCAUCACCGUGGAGACCAGCUGAUUGCUGCCAAUUUCUUUCUCCCCUCCUUUUUCUUUUUGAUUUUUCUAUAUGGUUUACAGUACUAUAUAGUAAGAGCCUUUGUCAAAAUAUAAAAGGGAGCAACUCAUUGUUGGAUGAAAACACAAGAUGAUGAAGCAAAUUCUGAAUUUGGGAUGAAAUCGACUAUUUCAUGUUUGGAUUUUUUUCUAGAAGAGUUGUGGUAGGA